rnacentral:rRNA from 1 species
AGUGAACGCUGGCGGUAGGCCUAACACAUGCAAGUCGAACGGCAGCACAGUAAGAGCUUGCUCUUACGGGUGGCGAGUGGCGGACGGGUGAGGAAUACAUCGGAAUCUACUUUUUCGUGGGGGAUAACGUAGGGAAACUUACGCUAAUACCGCAUACGACCUACGGGUGAAAGCAGGGGAUCUUCGGACCUUGCGCGAUUGAAUGAGCCGAUGUCGGAUUAGCUAGUUGGCGGGGUAAAGGCCCACCAAGGCGACGAUCCGUAGCUGGUCUGAGAGGAUGAUCAGCCACACUGGAACUGAGACACGGUCCAGACUCCUACGGGAGGCAGCAGUGGGGAAUAUUGGACAAUGGGCGCAAGCCUGAUCCAGCCAUGCCGCGUGGGUGAAGAGGGCCUUCGGGUUGUAAAGCCCUUUUGUUGGGAAAGAAAAGCAGCAGGUUAAUACCCCGCUGUUCUGACGGUACCCAAAGAAUAAGCACCGGCUAACUUCGUG